AUAAAUUAAAGUUUUAAACACAUUAACUAUAACUACUAAACUAAAAGACUAAAUUAAAACAAACUAAAAUAACUAGAUUAUAAAAAGCUAAAUUAAAAAAAAUAACUAAAAUUGAAUUAAGAACUAACCACUAAUUAAAAAUAGACAACAAAAUAGAAGUUAAAUUAACUUCAUAUAGUAUAUAAAAAAGAAAAAAGAAAGGUAAAAUUCUAAAUAAUAAAAUAAAUAAAUAAGAAAAAAAAUUAAAAGAGGUGCAACUCCCUUUGUUUCUCGUGAAAAAACAAACUAAUCUCUCUUUCCACACACAUCACCACUAAGGUUCUUCUCUCUCUCUCACUUUAAAAAAAUUGAAGCGU
rnacentral:lncRNA from 1 species